rnacentral:rRNA from 1 species
CCUACGGGUGGCAGCAGUGAGGAAUAUUGGUCAAUGGGCGCGAGCCUGAACCAGCCAAGUAGCGUGCAGGAUGACUGCUCUACGGGUUGUAAACUUCUUUUGUACGGGGGUAAAGUGCGGCACGUGUGCCUUUUUGUAAGUACUUUAUGAAUAAGGAUCGGCUAACUCCGUGCCAGCAGCCGCGGUAAUACGGAGGAUCCGAGCGUUAUCCGGAUUUAUUGGGUUUAAAGGGAGCGUAGAUGGGUUGUUAAGUCAGUUGUGAAAGUUCGGGGCUCAACCGUAAAAUUGCAAUUGAUACUGGCAGUCUUGAGUACAGUUGAGGUAGGCGGAAUUCGUGGUGUAGCGGUGAAAUGCUUAGAUAUCACGAAGAACUCCGAUUGCGAAGGCAGCUUACCAAACUGCCACUGACAUUGAUGCUCGAAAGCGUGGGUAGCAAACAGGAUUAGAUACCCUAGUAGUC